rnacentral:miRNA from 1 species
CGAAGAUACGUCCGAAGGGGCCGAAGUUAUGAUCGGCGAAAGGUAUGGGCUAGUCUAUAUUAUAGACUAGCCCAUACCUUUCGCCGAUCAUAACUUCGGCCCCUUCGGACGUAUCUUC